rnacentral:rRNA from 1 species
CCUACGGGGGGCUGCAGUGGGGAAUAUUGGACAAUGGGGGGAACCCUGAUCCAGCCAUGCCGCGUGUGUGAAGAAGGCCCUCGGGUUGUAAAGCACUUUCAGUGAGGAAGAACGCCUGGUGGUGAAUACCCAUCAGGAAAGACAUCACUCACAGAAGAAGCACCGGCUAACUCCGUGCCAGCAGCCGCGGUAAUACGGAGGGUGCGAGCGUUAAUCGGAAUUACUGGGCGUAAAGCGCGCGUAGGUGGCUUGAUAAGCCGGUUGUGAAAGCCCCGGGCUCAACCUGGGAACGGCAUCCGGAACUGUCAAGCUAGAGUGCAGGAGAGGAAGGUAGAAUUCCCGGUGUAGCGGUGAAAUGCGUAGAGAUCGGGAGGAAUACCAGUGGCGAAGGCGGCCUUCUGGACUGACACUGACACUGAGGUGCGAAAGCGUGGGUAGCAAACAGGAUUAGAUACCCCUGUAGUC